GACGAACCGUGCGAACGUUAUUCGGAAUCACUGGGCUUAAAGCGCGUGUAGGCGGGAGGGCACGUCCGUCGCUGAAAUCCCCCGGCUCAACCGGGGAACUGGCGCCGAAACGCCCUGUCUUGAGGAGCGUAGGGGGACCUGGAACUUCCGGUGGAGCGGUGAAAUGCGUUGAGAUCGGAAGGAACGCCCGUGGCGAAAGCGAGGUCCUGGACGUUAUCUGACGCUGAGACGCGAAAGCUAGGGGAGCGAACGGG
rnacentral:rRNA from 1 species